CUACGAGUGAAACAUGAGUCAGCUGCGUGCAGUGCUGCAAUCCAGAGAAGCGAAGCAACCCCGAAAUCUUCAACGCUAUUGCCACUGCGCCAUGCCUGUCCCGCACCUCCUCUCGAGUCUCGCCACUUCCCCUAACCUAGUCACCGCCGCUCCACCGGAAUGGAGCAACGUGGCGGUGCCCGACACAACUUCGUGCCGCACUACGACUCCCGCCUCCGCUUCACCAGGGACUCACCGCCCGUGAUGAUAUGGCGUGAGGCGAUUUGUGGGGAAGUUGGGCUCGAAGAGAGCGUGAGUGGUUGGUGAUGAACCAAAAAAGGUAACCAACUAACCAUGCAUGAAUCACCCUUGCUAAACCAGAGGAGCUGAUCUCAUCGCGGACGGAAUUACCUGAGAGGAUAAAAGGCUAAAACUGGCGCAUAUGGAUUUCUCAACGAAACACAACUGGCUGACCUCAGUUUUAGGAGGUGCAAAAUUGGCCGUCCAAUGUAGAGACCCAGGUGAAGACAUGUAUUGGGAAUCCAGUAAAAUGACACAGCAGAACUCACAUUUUCACAAGAGAUUUUUCAAGAGAUUUUCAUUUUCUUCGGUUUGGGAAUCCCAUUUUCCUAAAAGAUUUCCAUUUUUCGAAGAAAAAUUAGUUCAUUUUUCAUUGGGAAAAUAGAAAUCCCUUAAAAAAUGGACUUUCCAAACUAGUUCUAAAUGUGAGUUAUGUUGUGUCAUUUGUCCCUCACCUUGGAGAUCCAAGGCCUGCACACCCCAUACUAGAUAGAAACAGAGAAUUGAAUUGUAUUACUUAG